rnacentral:rRNA from 3 species
CUCAAAGUUGGAACCUGUUUGGCCUAGCUAAACCGGAUUGUAGACUGUAGAAGUGUUUUCCAGGCAAGCCGAGUAAAUAAGUCCUUUGGAACAGGGCAUCAUAGAGGGUGAGAAUCCCGUCUUUGGCUUGAGCAUUUGCCUUUUGUGAUACGCUUUCAAAGAGUCAGGUUGUUUGGGAAUGCAGCCUAAAUUGGGUGGUAAAUCUCACCUAAAGCUAAAUAUUGGCGAGAAACCGAUAGCGAACAAGUACCGUGAGGGAAAGAUGAAAAGAACUUUGAAAAGAGAGUUAAACAGUAUGUGAAAUUGUUAAAAGGGAACCGUUUGGAGCCAGACUGGCUUGUCUGUAAUCAAUCUAGGCUUCGGCCUGGAUGCACUUGCAGGCUAUGCCUGCCAACGACAAUUUGACUUGAGGGAAAAAACUAAGGGAAAUGUGGCCCACUUGUGGGUGUUAUAGUCCCUUAGAAAAUACCUUGGGUUGGAUUGAGGAACGCAGCGAAUGCUUUUUGGCGAGUUUUCCAGGAAGGUUUUCUGAGGUACUACGGUAUCAAGGUUGAUCUUUUUGGUUAUACUUCUAUU